rnacentral:misc_RNA from 1 species
ACAAACUUGGUCAUUUAGAGGAAGUAAAAGUCGUAACAAGGUUUCCGUAGGUGAACCUGCGGAAGGAUCAUUAAAGAAGAAGUGAUUCCGGUAGGAAUCACUUAUUUAACAUUCUUGUGAACAUUCAUGUUUCGUUGGCGUUUACGUCAAUACCCAACAAAUUACUAUUUCUUGAAUACAUAAAUAUAAAAUGAUAAAGAUAAACUUCUAGCAAUGGAUCUCUUGGUUCUCGCAUCGAUGAAGAACGCAGC